rnacentral:rRNA from 1 species
GAACGCUCCGCAAGGGGAGUGGCAGACGGGUGCGUAACACGUGGGAACAUACCCUUUGGUUCGGAAUAACUCAGGGAAACUUGAGCUAAUACCGGAUAAGCCCGAGAGGGGAAAGAUUUAUCGCCAAAGGAUUGGCCCGCGUCCGAUUAGCUAGUUGGUGAGGUAACGGCUCACAAAGGCGACGAUCGGUAGCUGGUCUGAGAGGAUGAUCAGCCACACUGGGACUGAGACACGGCCCAGACUCCUACGGGAGGCAGCAGUGGGGAAUAUUGGACAAUGGGCGCAAGCCUGAUCCAGCCAUGCCGCGUGAGUGAUGAAGGCCCUAGGGUUGUAAAGCUCUUUUGCUCGGGAAGAUAAUGACGGUACCGAGAGAAUAAGCCCCGGCUAACUUCGUG